UUUUGUUUAAUAUUAUACUCUUUCAGGUACAUCUUCCAGUCCAGCUACUGAACAGGAACUCCAUCAGCAAUUGGCCAUUUCCAGGAUCGCCAGGACCGCUUCAACAGGGAUUCAGGGAACUCCAGGGACAUCAGUCAUCGUGGGAGAUCAUCGCCACCAUCGAGGGACCAUUUCUAACGGGUGCGAAUAGCCCCCAACGGUAACGGUCAUCUUCCAAUGGCUGGAGCCAUCCUCCAAGGGUAAGAAGUUCCUUCCAACACCAACGAUCACCACUUAUAGGUAAGACUUAUCCCUUCGCAAACAGGAACACCUUCAAGGGGCUUGAAGGUGAUCCUGUCUACGGGAGGGUGGUACUUGUACCAUAUCUCCCGCAGAUAUGAUCAUCUUCAAGCAACUUGAAGCUGAUUUCUGCUUGCCCAGGCAUAAGUCAAGCCUCUCAGUGGCGAUCAGUGGCGAUCCAAGUUGUUGGAAGGCACUUCUGACCACUUGGAAGAUGGUUCCUGGUCAUUGAAAGGUGGCAGUUUACCACUUGGAGGCUAUUCAAACCUGCUAAAAAUGGUCCCGCGCGCGGACAGGGGACCCGCGUCCUCCACCGGCGUCGAAUUACAAAAACCUUCGAUGUAGGGAUGCACCAGUCAAAAAAUAAAGAAUUUGUCCUUUUUAA